GACGAACGCUGGCGGCGUGCUUAACACAUGCAAGUCGAACGGAAAGGCCUGCUUUCCCUUGUGGAUUGCGGGUACUCGAGUGGCGAACGGGUGAGUAACACGUGAGUGAUCUGCCCCCAACUUGGGUAUAAGCCUGGGAACUGGGUCUAAUUCCCGAUAGGACUGCAGGGUGGUGCCUGUGGUGGAAAACGAUUUUCUAGUGGUUGGGGAUGAGCUCGCGGCCUAUCAGCUUGUUGGUGGGGUAAUGGCCUACCAAGGCGGCGACGGGUAGCCGGCCUGAGAGGGUGGACGGCCACAUUGGGACAGGGAUCAGGCCCAGACGCCUACGGGAGGCAGCAGUGGGGAAUAAUGCACAAUGGGCGGAAGCCUGAUGCAGCGACGCCGCGUGGGGGAUGACGGGCUUCGGGUUGUAAACUCCUUUCGACCGAGAGGAAGCCACCUGGUUGGAAGGGUGGUGACGGUAGUGGUAGAAGAAGCACCGGCUAACUACGUG
rnacentral:rRNA from 1 species